rnacentral:lncRNA from 1 species
UUAAAUAUUAUUUUAAUUGUAUACGACUUUUGUUAAAAGUUGAAUUCAAAAGUGCAAGUAUCAUUAAAUUCAUAAUUUGGCCUCCAAAGUAAUUAAGUUUACAAAUUAUUACAUAAACUACCUGAUUGCAUACAAUGUCGACCCCAAAAUUAUUUUCCGAUGGAAAUUAGCCAGAAUAACCCCACUGACAACCCUAUCCGAUUGAUUUUAUACGGUUUGACCCGUAUAUAGAUACGGUUUGACUUCAUGAAAUUUUUUAAAUUAUUCCAA